rnacentral:rRNA from 1 species
GUCUACGGCCAUACCACCCUGAAUGCCGGAUCUCGUCUGAUCUCUGAAGCUAAGCAGGGUUGGGCCUGGUUAGUAUUGGGAUGAGAGACUAUAGGUACACACCACCAGUCUAAUAUC